AUUUAUAUAAUAUAUAAAAGUAUAUUUAACUUCCAAUUAAAAAGUCUGAAAUUUAUUCAGUAUAAAUA